rnacentral:misc_RNA from 1 species
CGCGCCACGUCACUACAGAAUGCGGACAUAAGGGAUCUAUGCAACCCGUAGGAAGAUAAAAAUGUAAGAAAAGUCAGAUUACAAUUCUACCCUUCAAUCCAUAAAGGGUUGACUAAUACAAUCUUCAUGGUCUGCUCCAAGCACACCCUAUACUUACUCCUACUGUCAUGUUACAGAGAAAUUAUAAUCUCACCCCCCAUACAACACAACAAAACAAAGUACGCACCAAAAUUAUUACAAGCA